UGACAGUGAUUUGAAGUUUUUAAGGUAAAAAAAAAUACAAUGAAGAUGGCCCGUCUUUUGCUUAGUUAUGCAUUGUGACAUUCGCAACAUCUUCUAAAUCAAAAUGGGUUGUAAUAAAAGGCGUGGGUUGCAUUCUAGUAUGGAAUGAUAAUCUAGACUUCUCCCAACAUUUUUAAUCACUUCAAUUACUUGUCUGUCUACUAUUAUCACUCUUCUUCCUGCGUUGAUUACAAUCUUUAUUCUGAUCCUU
rnacentral:lncRNA from 1 species